UGUUGAGACCCGUCAGCACAAUUAUCCCCAAUCUUGUCAUUCCUGCCCUCCCACCACUCCUCUGACUAAAAUACUUGAGCUAAAUUACCGACCAUGCACCCCACAGCACAUAUUCCCUUUAUUUAUCAUCCAGGGACCAGCUUAUUGAUCUUCCCCAUGUUAAUUGAGAGAUGAUGAGGAGUUGAGGAGUUAGACAACAGCGGCGCUCAGGAGACAGCUAUUCAGCAAUUGGAUGCAAGUAUGUCCUCAUUGGAUCUAAACAUUGAUGUCAUCAGUGCAGAUGAAUUUAGCAACAUUUAAAACUCUAUGAGACAGAGUCUGUAUCAUCGUUACAGGAAGAUGAAAUGAGGGAAGUAGACACAUACUAUGACAGUGACGAUUAAGAAUAUAUGCCUUACAUUUGUGUGCGGACUGGCGGUGCUCUAAAGACACUGAUUUGCUUGGAUGCACUUCCUGCUAACAGCAUGGAGGACUCUGUGCAUUCCCAGAGACAACUAAAGUCCUGGUUGAGGAUGAAAUAACUGGCCAUCCUGCAUCCAUCACAUACCAUGACUGUCUGAAGCAGCUACCUGUCAACAUGUGUACUGCUAAGGAGUGCCGGUAGAGUGCCGGCACCUAGACCAUUCAAGAUCAGUAUUGAGUCCAGGCGCACAGCUGCUAUAAUUGAAUGGGUCUUUAUUUGGCAUAAAUCUUCAUUACAUGUUUUAGACUGAUUUUUGUAUAUGUGUCUUACAUGUAGUAGUAAUUGUUGUUGCCGUAUUGUGCUGUCUUUCUCCACCUGUGUCUUUUUCAGAUGUGUCCUCAUGGUCACACUGUGGAAAUGGACUUCCUAGCCAACUUUAAAGUGUGGGGUGCUGGUUGUGGUCUUCUUGUUGGCCAGUAACUCUGAAAAACAACUAUGCAAAGUUGUUCAAGUUCAUGAAAAUGAGAUCCAGGACUCCUGCUGUGUGGACACUAUAAAGGACUGUUGGAAUGAGAAGAAAGCCAAAAUCAUCACUCGGCUUCAGUCCAAAGGGC